rnacentral:rRNA from 1 species
CCUACGGGAGGCAGCAGUAGGGAAUCUUCCGCAAUGGACGAAAGUCUGACGGAGCAACGCCGCGUGAGCGAUGAAGGCCUUCGGGUCGUAAAGCUCUGUUGUCAGGGAAGAACAAGUACCGGAGUAACUGCCGGUACCUUGACGGUACCUAACCAGAAAGCCACGGCUAACUACGUGCCAGCAGCCGCGGUAAUACGUAGGUGGCAAGCGUUGUCCGGAAUUAUUGGGCGUAAAGCGCGCGCAGGCGGUCCUUUAAGUCUGAUGUGAAAGCCCACGGCUCAACCGUGGAGGGUCAUUGGAAACUGGGGGACUUGAGUGCAGAAGAGGAAAGCGGAAUUCCACGUGUAGCGGUGAAAUGCGUAGAGAUGUGGAGGAACACCAGUGGCGAAGGCGGCUUUCUGGUCUGUAACUGACGCUGAGGCGCGAAAGCGUGGGGAGCAAACAGGAUUAGAUACCCUGGUAGUCCACGCCGUAAACGAUGAGUGCUAAGUGUUAGAGGGUUUCCGCCCUUUAGUGCUGCAGCAAACGCAUUAAGCACUCCGCCUGGGGAGUACGGCCGCAAGGCUGAAACUCAAAGGAAUUGACGG